rnacentral:lncRNA from 12 species
UGGGUCACAAGCACUGCGUUUCUGGAAUUCGUUCUCCUGAGAAAUAGGUCAAUUCUGGUUUUCCUAGGAAGUCCCCUGGGCAAAGACCCCAUCUCCUGCACUCUUUCGAAUAUAAAUUGACCCUGACAGGGAAACAACCUCCAACUUUUGCAAGUCCCUUUGGGGAAGAGCUUUAAAUACAAGUUCAGAAAUGGCCUUGGUGCUCUGGGGGAGUUUGGGCUCAAGGUUGUAACCUCUCUUAGGCCCUGGGGCUUGGAAGCCCAGAGGCCAAAGACCCAAGGAAGCAGGCUCACUGGCUUGCAUUUCCUUUAGUAAAGGGGUUGAAAGUGAACACUUUCCUGCAUCCUGCAGAGCCUUUUCCUUCCCUGGGCCUAAUAUUUCACAUACCUGAUGAUAUCCAGACAGUGCUAAGCUCUGGACUCCACGAAAAGCCUUUCAGCUCAUCAUUCCAACCUUACCAGUCAAACUGUCCAGAAGAUGCAGAUUGGAUUGAUUAGGCAGAAUGACUAGCUGGAUACUUAAAGAUCUCUACUACUUUUGCAUCUACUUUUUCCAAUUAUAUUGAUGGGUAAGCCGAGGAAAUGCAAAACACAGGAGAGGAGGAUGCUCUCACAAGAUGGAAGCCUUGGAAACACCCACACAGCUGAUUCUUGGGCUGUAAUUCAUCUGAUGUUUUUCACAAAUGGCAGCUUCUCCUGACUUGUUGCUGACCAGUUGAGCAAUGUCUUCAACUUUAUGGUGUAAACAGAACCGGGAAUCCUGCCUAUGACACCCAACAUCCUCACGUCGUGGGAGAAACCUCCUUGUGUUUUUCUCAGCACCCAGAACUUUUCCUAGGAAAAUGGUUAUAAUGGUAAGACUUCUUCAAAAAUGAACUGGUUUUAGUACUGGAACCCAUAAAGCUUCAUUAUAUACUUUUUUUCUCCAAAAAUUGUUUUUUUUUUCUUUUUUUUUCCAGAAAGCAACAUCAAACAGAAAUUUCUGAGAUCAAGAACAGGAAAUGAGUGAUUCAGCAGGCUGGAUUUCACCCAAGGAGCUGUCUCCACAGCUGUAGAGAAUAGCUAAGAAAAGUUCCAGGGGACUUGCCUGGUACUGCUUGAAAGCAGUCGGACUGAGAACCAU